AGUGGCGCACGGGUGCGUAACGCGUGAGCAACCUACCUCUAUCAGGGGGAUAGCCUCUCGAAAGAGAGAUUAACACCGCAUAAUAUAUCUGAUUGGCAUCAGUUAGAUAUUAAAUAUUUAUAGGAUAGAGAUGGGCUCGCGUGACAUUAGCUAGUUGGUAGGGUAACGGCUUACCAAGGCGACGAUGUCUAGGGGCUCUGAGAGGAGAAUCCCCCACACUGGUACUGAGACACGGACCAGACUCCUACGGGAGGCAGCAGUAAGGAAUAUUGGUCAAUGGGCGGAAGCCUGAACCAGCCAUGCCGCGUGCAGGAUGACUGCCCUAUGGGUUGUAAACUGCUUUUGUCCAGGAAUAAACCUAAAUACGAGUAUUUAGCUGAAUGUACUGGAAGAAUAAGGAUCGGCUAACUCCGUGCCAGCAGCCGCGGUAAUACGGAGGAUCCGAGCGUUAUCCGGAUUUAUUGGGUUUAAAGGGUGCGUAGGCGGCCUAUUAAGUCAGGGGUGAAAUACGGUGGCUCAACCAUCGCAGUGCCUUUGAUACUGAUGGGCUUGAAUCCAUUUGAAGUGGGCGGAAUAAGACAAGUAGCGGUGAAAUGCAUAGAUAUGUCUUAGAACUCCGAUUGCGAAGGCAGCUCACUAAGCUGGUAUUGACGCUGAUGCACGAAAGCGUGGGGAUCGAACAGGAUUAGAUACCCUGGUAGUCCACGCCCUAAACGAUGAUAACUCGAUGUUGGC
rnacentral:rRNA from 1 species